rnacentral:rRNA from 1 species
GACGAACGCUGGCGGCGUGCUUAACACAUGCAAGUCGAGCGGUAAGGCCCUUUCGGGGGUACACGAGCGGCGAACGGGUGAGUAACACGUGGGUGACCUGCCCUCAGCUCUGGGAUAAGCCUGGGAAACCGGGUCUAAUACUGGAUAUGACUCCAUGACGCAUGUUGUGGGGUGGAAAGCCUUGUGCGGCUGAGGAUGGGCCCGCGGCCUAUCAGCUUGUUGGUGGGGUNANGGCCUACCAAGGCGACGACGGGUAGCCGGCCUGAGAGGGCGACCGGCCACACUGGGACUGAGACACGGCCCAGACUCCUACGGGAGGCAGCAGUGGGGAAUCUUGCGCAAUGGGCGAAAGCCUGACGCAGCGACGCCGCGUGAGGGAUGACGGCCUG